rnacentral:rRNA from 1 species
UACGGAGGGAGCUAGCGGUUAUUCGGAAUUACUGGGCGUAAAGCGUGCGUAGGCGGUUUGUUAAGUCCGCUGUGAAAGCCCUGGGCUCAACCUGGGAAUUGCCAGUGGAUACUGGCAAGCUAGAGUGCGGUAGAGGAUGGUGGAAUUCCCGGUGUAGCGGUGAAAUGCGUAGAGAUCGGGAGGAACACCCGUGGCGAAGGCGGCCAUCUGGACCAGCACUGACGCUGAGGCACGAAAGCGUGGGGAGCAAACAGGG